rnacentral:rRNA from 1 species
AGAGUUUGAUCCUGGCUCAGGAUGAACGCUGACAGAAUGCUUAACACAUGCAAGUCUAUGAGAAGAUCUACUUCGGUAGAAGGUUAUCAUGGCGGACGGGUGAGUAACGCGUAAAGAACUUGCCUCUUAGACUGGGAUAACAGAUGGAAACGUCUGAUAAGACUAGAUAUAAUAAUGACAUGGCAUCAUGUUGUUAUGAAAGGUAACACUAAGAGAGAGCUUUGCGUCCUAUUAGUUAGUUGGUGAGGUAAUGGCUCACCAAGACGAUGAUAGGUAGCCGGCCUGAGAGGGUGAACGGCCACAAGGGGACUGAGAUACGGCCCUUACUCUUACGGGAGGCAGCAGUGGGGAAUAUUGGACAAUGGAGGAAACUCUGAUCCAGCAAUUCUGUGUGCACGAUGAAGGUUUUCGGAUCGUAAAGUGCUUUCAGUAGGGAAGAAGAAAGUGACGGUACCUACAGAAGAAGCGACGGCUAAAUACGUGCCAGCAGCCGCGGUAAUACGUAUGUCGCAAGCGUUAUCCGGAAUUAUUGGGCGUAAAGGGCAUCUAGGCGGUCAAUCAAGUCGAAGGUGAAAACUUGUGGCUCAACCAUAAGCUUGCCUACGAAACUGAUUAACUAGAGUACUGGAGAGGUGGACGGAACUACACGAGUAGAGGUGAAAUUCGUAGAUAUGUGUAGGAAUGCCGAUGAUGAAGAUAGUUCACUGGACAGAAACUGACGCUGAAGUGCGAAAGCUAGGGGAGCAAACAGGAUUAGAUACCCUGGUAGUCG